rnacentral:rRNA from 1 species
AUGCCCCUCCGUCCCCCAAGCAGCCCCCGGCUCAAGGAUCUCCCGACUCCACACGGCGGUGCAGCGCGGUUGGUCCAUGGAGCAUCCCGUGCCCACGAGCUCCCCCGGAGCCGGAGCCGGAGACCCCGCGACCCGCCGUCCCCUCCCCCGCACGAGGAGGAGGAGCAUCUUGCUGAACCUGGAUCAUCAUCUGCACAAACUCUGCAAGCACCGUCCUUGAAUGAGUCGCCCAGCGCUUCGUCGGUGUGGGAGGAAUUGCGUGUCGCUGUCGCUUCCUCCGCCUUUUCGCAGUCGGAGGCAGUAGCUCCUGACUCGCCUAUUUUUUCCCGGCUACCGCGUGACUGGGGGCUCCAAUUUUACAUCAGGGUGGAUCUUUCAGGAUCUUUCCACACAUAUCCUCGUUUGGGUGGGCCAUUCAAGAGCUUAGAGGAAGCCGACAGUGCUAUUGAUCGCCAUCUGCACGACCGCCGGGUCACCAAAAUGUGCCCGGAGCAAGGCAGCGUUUCUCGACUGGAUAAGGUCGUACAACAAUGUCUUUACUGGCCCGAUGGCAGAAGGAAGAAGCGUUCAAAAUCUCAUGUGAUUGAGCAAAGUCAUAAUCGAAUGUGCCUAUUGGCUCAAGCUCUAGUAGACAAGUAUAACGAGAAUCACAAUCUUUUGGGGGAUCUUGCACAUGAGUUCAAAGACGUUGUGCAAUAUCAAUCAAUUUGCGAGAACCGUGUGUGGUACUAUCAUCUCAAUAUCACUACAAGGGCUAAAGGAGCUGAUGGUUUCUCCCAUGGCAUCGAUGAUCUAUUCUUCACGGAAGUCAAACGUGUGCGACAGGGACAACAUGAGGAAUUGGUGGUCAGCUGUUUCUGCAUGCUCAAACCGACUGAUAACGGUUGCUGCUAUGGCUGUACCAACAAUGGAUCUCCUGAUAUGAAGCACCCCAGCAGCACUGAUAAAUACAUUGCUGGUCACUUGAACGGAUAUUUGCCAUUUGGAUGCCGUAGGGAGUUUAGUGACUCUGAUGAUGAGGAGGAAGCUGAGGCUAAGCUAAGAGAUAUGUAUGAGGGCCUUGAUGAGCCAGACUUUCUGGAGAAACUCUUCACAUUUCCCACUUAUGUAACUCUGAGGAAAGACACGAAGGGAACCUGA